GAAAAAUGAGAAGUUUUGAUGUUAUCUCCUUAUUAAUUCAACUUUGUCUUGUACUUCUGUAAUAUUGUGAUUCUAUAUUUCAUGACGGAUUCAGGAGUCAAGUCCAGGUUUUGAUAUAGGAAGAUAGACUGGUCUGGAUUCAAAAGAUUAUUAAGCUACACAAAUUCCAAGGAAAUCCAGCAGACAAGCCCAAAGAAUGGAAAAUAAAUUAUUGAGCAAAUAGUCAUUCUGAGACAGGAAAGUCAAGAGUACCACCACCCUGAGGA
rnacentral:lncRNA from 1 species